AAGACUAUAGACCUGCGGAGUACCUGCGGAGGGAUCAUUACAAGUGACCCCGGUCUAACCACCGGGAUGUUCAUAACCCUUUGUUGUCCGACUCUGUUGCCUCCGGGGCGACCCUGCCUUCGGGCGGGGGCUCCGGGUGGACACUUCAAACUCUUGCGUAACUUUGCAGUCUGAGUAAACUUAAUUAAUAAAUUAAAACUUUCAGCAAUGGAUCUCU
rnacentral:misc_RNA from 1 species